rnacentral:rRNA from 1 species
UACAGAGGGUGCAAGCGUUAAUCGGAAUUACUGGGCGUAAAGGGCGCGUAGGUGGUUAUUUAAGUCAGAUGUGAAAUCCCUGGGCUUAACCUAGGAAUUGCAUUUGAAACUAGAUGGCUAGAGUAUGGUAGAGGGAAGUGGAAUUUCCGGUGUAGCGGUGAAAUGCGUAGAUAUCAGGAGGAACACCUGUGGUGUAGACAGCUUACUGGGCACUUUCUGACGCUGAGACACGAAAGCGUGGGUAGCAAACAGG